GGAAAAUGAUUUCAAAUUGAAAUGCAUUAAAAUAUUUAACCAUUGUAUUUUUCGAAGGAGGUUGUACAUCUAACUAAGGAGAUAGAUGUUUGCAUUAUUAUAGGGUAAUGUGCCAUGAGUAUCAUCAAUUUAUGAUGUAUUAUUUCCCUUACUUUGUAUCUGUAUUGUUUCCCUUUGUAUCUGUUGCAUGUACCUGUUCUUCAAACAAAUUGAAAAACUCUGUAUGUGUAUUAAGUAUUUUUUGUUGUUGCAAAAUUGGUGCAAACGAGCUUGUUUACACAGCUGAUGGUGUAUUAAUUUAGAUGUUACAAAUUGAAUUGAAAUUGUGUACUCCUACUUGGUCAUUGAAUCUCACAUGUGCUCCACAUAUGUAUUUAGACUAAUAAAUAUUGUUGAAUAUUGCUAACAGUGAAAUAAUUUUUCAAUAAAAAAUUGAAAGCUG
rnacentral:misc_RNA from 1 species